GGGGAUGUAGCUCAGUGGCACAGCACCUGCUUGGGAAGCAUGAGGCCCUGAGUUUGAUUCCUAGUACCCCCC
rnacentral:tRNA from 1 species